rnacentral:rRNA from 1 species
AUGCGAAUUCUCUGCCGCAGGACCGUGGCUGCGAUGCUCGCCGACGCGCUGGGCUACGGCUUCGUCGAGGCGGACGACCACCACUCCCACGCCAACAAAGAGAAGAUGAGCAGGGGCGUCCCACUCACGGACGAGGACCGCCUUCCGUGGCCGGAGUCGCUGCACGACGCCAUCAGAGAGCGGCUGGACCACGGCGAGGACGUCGCCGUCAGCUGCUCGGCGCUGCGGCUCAAGUAUCAGCCGAGUGCGGCGAGACCGGGACGAGCGGCGCGAGUACCGUGCAGGCGGCCGGACUGA